CCUUCGAUAGCUCAGUUGGUAGAGCGGUGGACUGUAGAAGUUUUCAGAUCUGAUCACACUUUCCAGGUGAUCGAAUCCAGCAGGCAUCCAUAGGUCGCUGGUUCAAAUCCGGCUCGAAGGA
rnacentral:tRNA from 1 species